UUCACCCCCUUGGUGCUGCUCCAGUGCCUGAAAUGGGGCAGUGGGAACACAGGACAAGCACUAAAAAGCACCUUUGAGAGGAUGGAUUGUCAGCAACUUCCUGAUGGAUAUUUCUGCCUGUGCCUGGAAAUGACCCAACAACCAGACUACAACAUUUGCACUAUGAAGGCAUUUUUGUCCAAACUUUGUCCAUGUGCUAAUUUCUCCCCUAAAAUUCUGGUGGAGCCAUGAGCAAGGGUGAAAUUUAAAUAUUCCUUAUGUAGUUGUGAGACAGGGAGUACAUUUUUGGUGGGAUUUUACGUGGAAAGAAGGCUCAGCUGUUGGGGUACCAGUGUUUACAAGGAUUACAUUCAAUUAUGGCACCCUGUCAGGAGUGUUCUGUGAAAAGCACAGAAGGAAUUCCAGCUGGGAAAGAGCUCUGGCAUUGCCAGCAGAAUUCAGGCAGAACUGAGAUACCUUAGGGCCAAAAUCACAAUGGAAAAUCACAGAAUCCCACCUCUGCUGGGAGGUCAAAAAAUAUUGGAGAUCCCUUCCAUUGAGAUGAUCCAGGGAUAAAGUUUCCCCCUUUUUUUGGAGGGAUAUGGAGCAGACUAUGUGAGAGGUGGAUAUCUGCACAGCUGUAGUUCUUAAAAUGAAAUCAAGAAAGGAAUUCUUGCAUAGAAUGAAAUAAUUUGCAGUCAGUGCUUCAGGUGAGCUUCCUGAGAUGUUUUCCUCUCCCAUCCACUGUCCUUAAAUGGCUUAUCCAGAGCUCCAGGUUGCUCUCAAGGAGCUCUGUGCCUACGUGAAAUGAGCAUUUCAGUUACUAAAUCAAUGGAGGAGAAAAAGCUUUUCAAAGUUUACAUCCUGCAAACAUGUACAGAAAUGAUAAAAGAAUUUUGGAAUUCUGAUGGCCUGCAGCAAAAAAUUAAAGAAUUUCAUAGAAUCCCAAAGUGGUUUGGAAGGGACAUUAAAAAAUAUCUCGUUCCACCCUUGCCAGGGCAGGACACCUUCCACUGUCCCAGGUGCUCCAAGCCCCAGUGUCCAACCUGGCUUUGGGCACUGCCAGGGAUCCAGGGGCAGCCACAGCUGCUCUGGGCACCUGUGCCAGGGCCUCCCCACCCUCACAGAGAAGAAUUUUCCCCAAAAUCCCCUCUCACUCUCUUCUCUUCAUCACAGAACUUGAAAAGAUGUUUUAUAAUGGAAAAUUUUAAACCAGGAAUGAGACAAGUCCUUUUUUUAACACCAUUAAGAUUUUGGAGGAUGGACAAAUCAAUUUUGCUCCCACCCCUUUUCUGUCCCUCUUGCAUCCCAGUGCCUCCAGUAGGGUUUGCCUGUUGAUCACAGUUAUUUAGCAAAUCACAAAUGACAGCAAUGUGACCUCUAGGGGCUGAUAUCCCUGCCAGCCCAGAAAAGCAGGAUCUGAGCUUUUGAUUUUUUAUAUUUCAAUAAGCCACUGCAGUGGUUUAGCUACAAAAAGGAUUUUAAUACAAGCAGACCAAACCAUCCAUGUUUCAUACCCAGUUUUCUAAAACUGCAAACUUUUGCAAGACAGAAUUAUUUUAAUGAUUAUAUUAAAAAGCUCUUCUCUAGGGAAGCAUCUCUCUCUCUCCUACAGAUGUGCUAAAUAAGCAACAUUUCCUCACAUUUGUAAGCAAUUCCAGUGAAAGUUCUUUAAAACAUGAUCUGUUGGCAUUCUGGCUGUAAAACUGGGCUGUGAUCUGCAUUAUUUUUUGUGUCUUCUCCUCUUUUAUAGAUGUAGAAUCACUGAACUAUUUCUACCAGGGCUAUGGGAAAUUAUUUGGUAUCGCUGCCCAAGCUAAUCAUUAUUCACAUAUAAACUGCCCAUUUACUGUUUCUCAUAUCCAAUUUUUGAAGAAAAUAUUGAUGAUGACGCCCGAAAUAACUUGGCAAGGCUUUGAAGAAGCUCUGAAAAUCUAUUACAGAGAUGAAUUGCAAAAGUGAGGUGCACUCACUAACCAUGCCAAGGGAAUGCCAAUAGAUAAAGUUCAGCUGAGGAUUUCUCAGUUUGAAUCUUUCUAGGAAGUUUGUGCAUGUUAUUGUAAGCAAAUUCCUGAUUCCUGGUUUUUCUCACUGUGGAAUGGAAAGAAACUGAGGUGCUGGAGUUGUGAAAAUGGAAGGAAAAGUUUACUAACCCCAUCAAACAACAGAAUUCUCUGCUGACUUUAGGCAAAAGCUGCCCUAAACCAGCCAGGAGCUUCUUUGAGACCGGUAUUAACAGCAAAUCAUGGAAAGACAGCAAAAGUCUUGCAGUGGCUGUGAAAAGCAGCACUGAGGAAUUCCGGAUAUCAGGAAAGAACAGCAGGGCUGUGAGCCUGAGCAGCAGAAGGAAGGAUGCAAGGUGACUUCAGGCUCACAUCUGUAUAACCCUGGGCAUUUCACAUGUGUCAUCAUGGAUCAGGCGAGGAGAAGCAAAGCAAAAACCCUGCAUGCCCAGGAAAAAUCCUUCUGUUUGGGAUCUGUGCUGCCACGGUGAUUUCAGGCUGAUGGAGACAUCUCCUGACAGGCACACCUGGAAAAAGGCAGUGCUGGAAAAAGGACCUGACCCUGCUGGCAAAGCCCUAUCAGCUCUGGAGAUCCCUGCACUUAUCUGGCUUCCUGCUUGUCUCAAGUGUAGCUGGGUGUGAAUUCUAUUUCCCACCUGUCAGGGCUGGGGCAGUUCUCUUCAUGGGGCACUUUUCUUCAUCUCUCCCACAGCCAAUCCUCCCUCCAGGAGAUCUAUGCUGUUCAUGGGCCAUUAAUUAUUAAUUAUCUUCUGUUCAUGGCCACUGAGUGUCCCUGCAUGGCUGAGAAAAUUCCAUCAUCCCAUGGGGAGAUGCUGUGCCCAGGGGAGGAGCCGAGCAUUCCUACCUGGAUACAAUCUGACCUGGGAACAGCACAGCAGCCUUUGCCCACUGCAUUCCCAGAGGAGCAGCUUUCUUCCCACUGCAUUCCCAGAGGAGCAGCUUUCUUCCCACUGCAUUCCCAGAGGAGCAGCUUUCUUCCCCCUGCAUUCCCAGAGGAGCCCAGGCCCAUCUCCCCCAGCCCUGGAGCUCCAGAGGAAAACUCCCCCCUUGUGCAGGAUCCUGCUCCAGCAGAAGCACAGCUGGCACUGCAGGAGGGCUGAGCCCCCCUGGGAUGGGACUGCUGCCACCUCCCUGACCCACAGGCUGCCAGGGCUGCUCUGACUCUGACAGUGCUGUUUUGUAUUACUGCAUUUUUAUUUGAAUUUUAUUUUUC
rnacentral:lncRNA from 1 species